rnacentral:rRNA from 1 species
GAUGAACGCUGGCGGCGUGCCUAAUACAUGCAAGUCGAGCGAACAGAUGAGGAUCUUGCUCCUCUGACGUUAGCGGCGGACGGGUGAGUAACACGUGUAUCACCUACCUAUAAGACUGGUAUAACUUCGGGAAACCGGCGCUAAUACCGGAUAAUAUAUUGCACCGCAUGGGUCAAUAGUGAAAGACGGUUUUGCUGUCUCUUCUAGAUGGAUCCGCGCCGCAUUAGCUAGUUGGUAAGGUAACGGCUUACCAAGGCGACGAUGCGUAGCCGAACUGAGAGAGGGAUAGGCCACACUGGAACUGAGACACGGUCCAGACUACUACGGGAGGCAGCAGUAGGGAAUGGUCCGCAAUGGGCGAAAGCCUGACGGAGCAACGCCGAGUGAGUGAUGAAGGUCUUCGGAUCGUAAAACUCUGUUAUUAGGGAAGAACAAAUGUGUAAGUAAAUAUGCACGUCUUGACGGUAACUAAUAAGAAAGCAACGGCUAACUACGUG